CCGUUAAAUUCCUCAGCGCCAAUGGUACUCCGUCUCAAGACGCGGGAGAGUAGGUCGCUGCCAGGC
rnacentral:rRNA from 1 species